rnacentral:rRNA from 1 species
CGAACGCUUUGUGGUUCAACUGAUUUGAAGAAGCUUGCUCAGAUAUGACGAUGGACAUUGCAAAGAGUGGCGAACGGGUGAGUAACACGUGGGAAACCUACCUCUUAGCAGGGGAUAACAUUUGGAAACAGAUGCUAAUACCGUAUAACAAUGACAACCGCAUGGUUGUUAUUUAAAAGAUGGUUCUGCUAUCACUAAGAGAUGGUCCCGCGGUGCAUUAGCUAGUUGGUAAGGUAAUGGCUUACCAAGGCGAUGAUGCAUAGCCGAGUUGAGAGACUGAUCGGCCACAAUGGGACUGAGACACGGCCCAUACUCCUACGGGAGGCAGCAGUAGGGAAUCUUCCACAAUGGGCGAAAGCCUGAUGGAGCAACGCCGCGUGUGUGAUGAAGGGUUUCGGCUCGUAAAACACUGUUGUAAGAGAAGAAUGACAUUGAGAGUAACUGUUCAAUGUGUGACGGUAUCUUACCAGAAAGGAACGGCUAAAUACGUGCCAGCAGCCGCGGUAAUACGUAUGUUCCAAGCGUUAUCCGGAUUUAUUGGGCGUAAAGCGAGCGCAGACGGUUAUUUAAGUCUGAAGUGAAAGCCCUCAGCUCAACUGAGGAAUUGCUUUGGAAACUGGAUGACUUGAGUGCAGUAGAGGAAAGUGGAACUCCAUGUGUAGCGGUGAAAUGCGUAGAUAUAUGGAAGAACACCAGUGGCGAAGGCGGCUUUCUGGACUGUAACUGACGUUGAGGCUCGAAAGUGUGGGUAGCAAACAGGAUUAGAUACCCUGGUAGUCCACACCGUAAACGAUGAGUGCUAG